rnacentral:rRNA from 1 species
UGGGGAAUUUUGGACAAUGGGCGCAAGCCUGAUCCAGCCAUGCCGCGUGCGGGAAGAAGGCCUUCGGGUUGUAAACCGCUUUUGUCAGGGAAGAAAUCUUCUGAGUUAAUACCUCGGGAGGAUGACGGUACCUGAAGAAUAAGCACCGGCUAACUACGUGCCAGCAGCCGCGGUAAUACGUAGGGUGCAGGCGUUAAUCGGAAUUACUGGGCGUAAAGCGUGCGCAGGCGGUUUUGUAAGACAGAGGUGAAAUCCCCGGGCUCAACCUGGGAACUGCCUUUGUGACUGCAAGGCUUGAGUGCGGCAGAGGGGGAUGGAAUUCCGCGUGUAGCAGUGAAAUGCGUAGAUAUGCGGGGAACACCGAUGGCGAAGGCAAUCCCCUGGGCCUGCACUGACGCUCAUGCACGAAAGCGUGGGGAGCAAAACAGGAUUAGAUACCCCUGGUAGUCCACGCCCUAAACGAUGUCAACUGGUUGUUGGGAAGGUUCCUUCUCAGUAAACGUAGCUAACGCGUGAAGUUGACCGCCUGGGGAGUACGGCCGCAAGGUUGAAACUC